GUGCCAGCCACCGCGGUUAUACGAAAGACCCUAACUGAUAGAGACGGCAUAAAGGGUGGUUAAGGAAAACAAAAACAAUAAAGUUAAAAACUUUCUAGGCCGUUAUACGUAUUUUGAAAGCAUGAAACCCUUCCACGAAAGUAACUUUAAUCAUACUAAGCCUGACUCCACGAAAACUAAGAAACAAACUAGGAUUAGAUACCCCACUAU
rnacentral:rRNA from 1 species